rnacentral:lncRNA from 1 species
CGGCCGCCCGGCCGCCGCGCCGCUCAGAGCCGCCCGCCAUGGCCCGCGCGCCCACCCUGGCCCUGCUCCUGCUGGGACGGCUCCUGGCAGCCGCCACCGCACAGAGAGUGGGGCUCCCUGGGCCCCCGGGGCCCCAGGGCCACCCGGGAAGCCGGGCACGGACGGCAUUGACGUGAAAGCUGGUCCUCCAGGUCUGCCUGGGCCCCCGGGAUCGAAGGGGACCCCGGGAAACGAGGGGAAGCCCGGAGAGGCAGGCAGGGGACUGCCAGGACUUCCAGGUGUGGACGGUCUGACUGGGCGGGACGGACCUGCUGGACCCAAAGGUGCCCCUGGAGAACGGGUAGGUACCAGCCCCGCCCCCAUGUCCAGCGAUCACGGUGAACAGGUGAGGUCCCCCUGGCAGGGGUGGCAGGUGGGUGUCCU